rnacentral:tRNA from 1 species
AAUAAAGUCAGCUAAGAUUUUAAGCUAUUGGGUUCAUACCCCGAAAAUAAAUAAAUAAAAUUUCUUUAUUA